GGAUUAGAUACCCCACUAUGCUCAGCCUUAAACAUAGAUAACUCACAGAACAAAACUAUCUGCCAGAGAACUACUAGCAACAGCCUAAAACUCAAAGGACUUGGCGGUGCUUUAUAUCCCUCUAGAGGAGCCUGUUCUAUAAUCGAUAAACCCCGAUAAACCUCACCACUUCUAGCUAAAUCAGUUUAUAUACCGCCAUCUUCAGCAAACCCUUAAAAGGAAGAAAAGUAAGCACAAUAAUAAUACAUAAAAAAGUUAGGUCAAGGUGUAACCCAUGAAGUGGGAAGAAAUGGGCUACAUUUUCUAAUCAAGAGCAUACUCACGAAAGUUUUUAUGAAAUUUAAAAACUAAAGGUGGAUUUAGUAGUAAAUUAAGAAUAGAGAGCUUAAUUGAAUAGGGCCAUGAAGCACGCACACACCGCCCGUCACCCUCCUCA
rnacentral:rRNA from 1 species